GGUUCAAUGGUAGAGUGUUUGCCUUGUAUGCAUGAGGCCUUAGGUUCAAUUCCUAA
rnacentral:tRNA from 1 species